GCAAUCAAACCUUAUCGUCUUCCUUGACUUCACAGCAAAUUUUAGAGUUCAUCCUCUUCUUAAAUCUCCGACAACCCGUAACCUCUGUUAUAAUCCUCUGAAACGUCAACACGUAACCCUAAUAUGUUUGGCUCAUCAACUUCUUCUCCAACCUCUAACCUUCGCCGUCUUAGGCUCUGCAAAUCCUCCACUACUUAUUCAUUACACACUUUCUGUGCGAUUCUCAAAUUAUAAUACUAUCAAUAGUGAUGCAGAGUACACCCGAAUCUCAUUGCUCUCCUCACUUUUUUGCUUAUUUUUUUUCUAUUCAGCUUUCAAACAGAUGUGACUAGAACCAUAGCCAUUCGGUUGACCGAGCUAACCAGUAUCGUCAAGUUUCAAUUGACUUCGUCCAGCUAACAAGGAGAGCGGCGCAGGUUGGCGGAGAGCGACGGAGCAAGCGGCGGAGAACGACGGAGCAAGCGGCGGAGAACGACGGAGCAAGCGGCAGGCAGAUCAAGAUGGAUAGCCAUGGAGCAAGUGACGGAGAGUGUAAAGAGAGAGAUAUCAAAAGCAAUUUCUACAGUUCAACAUCUCACAUGGCCACAUGGGGGGUCGAUAGGCUCUCGGACAUGGUUAUUGCUUUCGAAGUUUCUGUAAAUGGAAGGAUGGAAGUUGCAGUGGAGGAGGCUGACAUGGCUGCAUAGCUUCUCAUGAGGCUGUUGCUCAAAUUAGAUAGCAUCAAAAGCUUUGAUUCAAAGCGGAAGGGAAAUCCAGAGUACAAUGAUAACGCAGAUGUUAAUGUUUCAUAUCCUGCAUUCUUCAUCUGUCUGCAUCAACUAUGCUACACAAAAAGAAUGUCAACAACAAUGGUAAACGAUAAGAAUGAGGUGACUGGAGAAAUACGAAGACUACUUGAAGCUCAGAUCAAGAGCUGAGGCCCUACAACAUUCACAACAGUUAAUGAUUACUUCAACAAUUUAGUAAUCAUAUUUGGACAUAAAGACAUAGCAUGCAGUUUUACUUAUGCGUUCAAGUGGUGUGCAUAAGACCAUUCAUGAAGGCAUCAACCUUAGAGGUGACAACAAAGGUAUGUAUAGUUGAGGAUCCCAGCUUUCUAAAUACCAAUUCCUAAGGCGGGUGUGUUUGCUGAUAAUGGAAUAUGUUGCGUUCACGAGUUUGACGAUAUGGAUAUAAAAAAUCAGGUUACUGAUCAUCAGUUUCUUAUUAGUACAGAGAAUGAGUUUCCUGGACUGUUGCUUCUCUGAGAUUUAUGUUAGACUUGGGGACAAAUGUUGUUAUUCGAUAGGAGCAGCAAACAAUGAUCACUACGGAAGCUGGUAUACAAGCAACUUUCUAGCUCUCCUGAGUACAACUAAUGUACUCAGCUAGAUAUUUAUGUGCUCUUGAUUGAUCACAGGAGAAAGAAUAGAUGGAGAUGCUUGCGUUCCAGAUUUUCACCAACACAGCUUCUGCGAGACAAAUAUAAAACACAUGUUUUCGAUGCUGUAAGACAUAGGGGCCAUUCUCAACGGACAUUCUUGAAGCUUCGUUGUCACCCCUGGAAUGAUUCUUAAACAGAGACUAGACAUGUCUGAAUCUGGCAACUCAGCUAGAGGCAAUGCAUCAGCAACACGAGCGAUCAAUGUCAUCUUCACCAUCCUGGCUUAUUCCUUCUUCUUAACAAACUCACUGAAAUUAUCAUAGAGUGAUCAAGUGCAUAAACAUUGGGUUACUUUGAAUUCAAGUGCUUCGGACAGAGUAAAUAUGUCCACUUCCCAAAGAAUUAUAUGUCCACUUCCCAAAUGUUACUUUUAUGUUAGUUUCAGCUGCGAUUAGUUUAGUGUUUAAUGUUGUUUGAAAUGUCAAUUUGAUCUCUUCCUUGCAAGUGGUGCGCAUAUACAUCUACUAC